rnacentral:rRNA from 1 species
GGGAUAACGUAGCGAAAGCUACGCUAAUACCGCAUACGCCCUGAGGGGGAACGCGGGGGAUUCUUCGGAACCUCGCGCGAUUGGAGCGGCCGAUGUCGGAUUAGCUAGUAGGUGAGGUAAAGGCUCACCUAGGCGACGAUCCGUAGCGGGUCUGAGAGGAUGAUCCGACACACUGGGACUGAGACACGGCCCAGACUCCUUCGGGAGGCAGCAGUGGGGAAUUUUGGACAAUGGGCGCAAGCCUGAUCCAGCCAUGCCGCGUGAGUGAAGAAGGCCUUCGGGUUGUAAAGCUCUUUCGGCCGGGAAGAAAUCGUGGUCUCUAACAUAGGCCAUGGAUGACGGUACCGGACUAAGAAGCACCGGCUAACUACGUGCCAGCAGACGCGGUAAUACGUAGGGUGCGAGCGUUAAUCGGAAUUACUGGGCGUAAAGCGUGCGCAGGCGGUUUUGUAAGACAGAUGUGAAAUCCCCGGGCUUAACCUGGGAACUGCGUUUGUGACUGCAAGGCUAGAGUACGGCAGAGGGGGGUGGAAUUCCUGGUGUAGCAGUGAAAUGCGUAGAGAUCAGGAGGAACACCGAUGGCGAAGGCAGCCCCCUGGGCCUGUACUGACGCUCAUGCACGAAAGCGUGGGGAGCAAACAGGAUUAGAUACCCUGGUAGUCCACGCCCUAAACGAUGUCGACUAGUCGUUCGGAGCAGCAAUGCACUGAGUGACGCAGCUAACGCGUGAAGUCGACCGCCUGGGGAGUACGGCCGCAAGGUUAAAACUCAAAGGAAUUGACGGGGACCCGCACAAGCGGUGGAUGAUGUGGAUUAAUUCGAUGCAACGCGAAUACCUUACCUACCCUUGACAUGU